rnacentral:rRNA from 1 species
GACGAACGCUGGCGGCGUGCUUAACACAUGCAAGUCGAACGAAGAGCGAUGGAAGCUUGCUUCUAUCAAUCUUAGUGGCGAACGGGUGAGUAACGCGUAAUCAACCUGCCCUUCAGAGGGGGACAACAGUUGGAAACGACUGCUAAUACCGCAUACGAUCUAACCUCGGCAUCGAGGAAAGAUGAAAGGUGGCCUCUAUGUAUAAGCUAUCACUGAAGGAGGGGAUUGCGUCUGAUUAGCUAGUUGGAGGGGUAACGGCCCACCAAGGCGAUGAUCAGUAGCCGGUCUGAGAGGAUGAACGGCCACAUUGGGACUGAGACACGGCCCAGACUCCUACGGGAGGCAGCAGUGGGGAAUCUUCCGCAAUGGACGAAAGUCUGACGGAGCAACGCCGCGUGAGUGAUGACGGCCUUCGGGUUGUAAAGCUCUGUUAAUCGGGACGAAAGGCCUUCUUGCGAACA